rnacentral:lncRNA from 1 species
UCACAGCCAACACCCAUUUCACCCUCUCUCUCAUUUUCCUCUCUUUCUCUCUCUAGAAAGCAAGCCCUAGAGCUUGGAGAAGGUGGAGAAGAGCUUGGAGAAGUGGAUUUUGGUGGCUUUGGUGGUCCUAGAAGCUCUCCAACAAGUAGGCUUUGGUGGAGCUUGGGCAAAGGUGAGUCCUUAUGCAAAAAUAAGUUUAGGGUUUUGGUUUAGACCUUAGAUUUUUGACUUUUGAUCUCUCUACAAGUGAGGAAAUCCUCUAAGGACCAUGACUCCAUGAAAAAUAUGGAUUUCUUGGACCCCUCUCAUGGUGGAUCACUAGGGCUCAAAGUAGAUGCCCUAGGGAUGGUUCUAAAAGCUUAGAAACCUUAUUAGAGAGCUUCCCAUGUGAAUCUAAGCUAUCUUUUGCUUAGGAAUGAGAUCAAUCUCGGAGAAAUGCAAAAAUAACAUGUUAGGGCAUCCCAAAGAGGGGUUUUGCCCAAGUUGGGUUUUGAUCUAUUUUGAUCAUGUAGAAACCUAAUUGAGG